GCUGACACGUCCCGGCCAAUCUCCAGCAGACCCUCCCUCCCAGACCCUCCUACUUCCUGGACAGCAUCCAUGUUGAAAGUAGUUGAAACAUGGAUGCUGUCCAGGAAGUAGGAGGGUCUGGGAGGGAGGGUCUGCUGGAGAUUGGCCGGGACGUGUCAG